rnacentral:rRNA from 2 species
GAGUGGCGAACUGGUGAGUAACACGUGGGUAACCUGCCCCGAAGCGGGGGAUAACAUUUGGAAACAAAUGCUAAUACCGCAUAAUUAGUUGGAACCGCAUGGUUCCAACUUGAAAGAUGGCUCUGCUAUCACUUUGGGAUGGACCCGCGCCGUAUUAGUUAGUUGGUGAGAUAAAAGCCCACCAAGACGAUGAUACGUAGCCGACCUGAGAGGGUAAUCGGCCACAUUGGGACUGAGACACGGCCCAGACUCCUACGGGAGGCAGCAGUAGGGAAUCUUCCACAAUGGACGAAAGUCUGAUGGAGCAACGCCGCGUGAGUGAUGAAGGGUUUCGGCUCGUAAAACUCUGUUGUUAAAGAAGAACAAGUGUUAGAGUAACUGUUAACACUUUGACGGUAUUUAACCAGAAAGCCACGGCUAACUACGUGCCAGCAGCCGCGGUAAUACGUAGGUGGCAAGCGUUGUCCGGAUUUAUUGGGCGUAAAGCGAGCGCAGGCGGUUUUGUAAGUCUGCUGUGAAAGCCCUCAGCUCAACUGAGGAAGUGCAGUGGAAACUACAAAACUUGAGUACAGAAGAGGAAAGUGGAACUCCAUGUGUAGCGGUGAAAUGCGUAGAUAUAUGGAAGAACACCAGUGGCGAAGGCGGCUUUCUGGUCUGUUACUGACGCUGAGGCUCGAAAGCAUGGGUAGCGAACAGGAUUAGAUACCCUGGUAGUCCAUGCCGUAAACGAUGAAUACUAGGUGUUGGAGGGUUUCCGCCCUUCAGUGCCGCAGCUAACGCAUUAAGUAUUCCGCCUGGGGAGUACGACCGCAAGGUUGAAACUCAAAGGAAUUGACGGGGGCCCGCACAAGUGGUGGAGCAUGUGGUUUAAUUCGAUGCUACGCGAAGAACCUUACCAGCUCUUGACAUCUUCUGCCAACCUAAGAGAUUAGGCGUUCCCUUCGGGGACAGAAUGACAGGUGGUGCAUGGUUGUCGUCAGCUCGUGUCGUGAGAUGUUGGGUUAAGUCCCGCAACGAGCGCAACCCUUAUUAUUAGUUGCCAGCAUUUAGUUGGGCACUCUAGUGAGACUGCCGGUGAUAAACCGGAGGAAGGUGGGGACGACGUCAAAUCAUCAUGCCCCUUAUGAGCUGGGCUACACACGUGCUACAAUGGAUGGUACAACGAGUCGCGAAACCGCGAGGUCAAGCUAAUCUCUUAAAGCCAUUCUCAGUUCGGAUUGCAGGCUGCAACUCGCCUGCAUGAAGUUGGAAUCACUAGUAAUCGUGGAUCAGCAUGCCACGGUGAAUACGUUCCCGGGCCUUGUACACACCGCCCGUCACACCAUGAGAG